UUCACUAGGGGGUUUGGGGAGGCAGCGGAGCUUACCAAGCAAGAGGGUCGAGGCACUCUUUCAUUUUUUUUUAUUUUUUACUCUAGCUGGUGACAGCAUUUGAACCUCCGGAUCCGGUGUUACAUGCCUGUUAAUAAAUAGUAGCUAACUGGCUACAUGUCAGGCUAGUCUGGUCUAUGCUUUACAACGCUACUUUUUAGCCACAGAAGAUGAAGCAAACAUGUCUCUCUAUGAGUGGCAAUAGAUUGAACUACUCAGGAGAAUAAAAAUUGCUGACAAAAUGGCGAGUUCAUCCAAUGAAGAGAAUACACGAGCUGGAGAAUACACGAGCUGGAGAAUACACGAGCUGGAGAAUACACGUCUGUUGUUCAACCUUUGUGAAGCAAUGAUGAGGAAAGACAUUUUCAAUACUUUCGGAUGUCGGAUGCCAGAUUUGACCACUUGCAUCAGCGACUUCCCCCUAACCUCCAGCACAAGAGAACUCACAGCUUGACCGUCAUUGCUUCAGGAAGGCUGUCUUUGACAUGUUUUUUUUUGCCAGUGGCAGCACACAGAAAGAAGUGUGCCACGCAAUCUGGCAUGUCCUGAAGGAGGAUUUUGUUGCUUAUCCCUCUGUGGCAAAAAAUGGGCUUCACCAUGGUCGACGUGAACACAUAGCCGAGAGGGAAAUGCAGGAAUCUUUUCCCGAAGCAAGUUGAGCUCCCAACUCAUUACAGGCCAUCUGCCACUACCAAGGUCAGAGAGCUUGCCGGGGACCCAAACACAGAGCCUAUGUUUUCGUGGAAGAUGAGGCAUUCCCUCUGAUGGUAAAUCUAAUGCGACCAUAUCCAGAUUCUUCUGGCUUUAAUGGCGCCAAGAAGAUCUACAACUAUCACCAUUCAAUAGCCAGAAGAAUUUCAGAGAACUGCUUUGGGAUCCUUGCUGCAAGAUGGAGGAUCCUGAGACGAGCCCUUGAGGUUGGCCCAGCUGUUCAAGUGCCUUUUCAGGAUGCUGCGAUCACGUGUGGCAGCCUACAGUAAAUGUUGGAGUGUGGUUUGGAAAACGUGUGCACAUACACUAAGUGUACAAAACAUUAGGAACACCUUCAGAACAGUCGCUAUUCGUCGGGGCAUGGACUACAAGGUGUUGAAAGCGUUCCACAGCGAUGCUGGCCCAUGUUUAUUCUAAUGCUUCCCACAGUUGUGUCAAGUUGGCUGGAUGUCCUUUGGGUGGUGGACCAUUCUUGAUACACAGCAGUGUUGCAGUCCUUGACACAUACCGGUGUGCCUGGCACCUACUACCAUAAUCCAUUCAAAGGCACUUUAAUAUUUUGUCUUGCCAUUUACCCUCUGAAGGGCACACAUACACAAUACAUGUCUCAAUUGUCUCAAGUCUUACAAAUCCUUUUUUAACCUGUCUUCUCCCCUUUAUCGACACUGAUUGAAAAGUUGUCUGGACUACGAGAGACCUCCGCCGACGACUCAAUCUGCACCCAUCGCAUCAUUGUCCAUAACAAACAGGGUAGGCAGGGGUAUUAAGGGUGUGCAACAUUUAUUUUCUGUUAAAUAAAUAACAUUUUUUAGCAAAGAGUUUUUAGCAAAGAUCUUUAUCGAAAACGUGUUGUGAUUGGAGCUCUGGAUUUUCCACACUGCAUUUUUUAAACAAAAAUAGCAGAGAUGUGCUUUAGAAAUAGCAACUUGGAUGAAAUAUGACGAUGUUUGCCUUUCCGUGCUUUGUAUAGCCUACUACUGAAUAUGGUGCAAAUGUAUGCUCAGAUAUGUCAACUUCAUGUGAAGAAGCACAAUGAUUUUCGGUAACCUGAAGAGGUAAAAUUAUUUGUCCGUUGGGCAUUUCAUGAGUCGAAUUUAUCCCAUUUUCUAUCAGACAUACGAGGAUGAAUAUUACAUAUCAUGUAAGGAUAUCUAUUGAAAUUAUGAAAAAAUAAAUAAAUACAGAUACAUAAAUGA